AGCUCCAAUAGCGUAUAUUAAAGUUGUUGCAGUUAAAAAGCUCGUAGUUGGAUUUCUGGUACAGUGCGCCUGGCCCACGGGUGCAAACUCGCGAGUGUCGGUGUGCGCUUGCCAUCUUUCUAGUUAACCGGACGCACUUAACUGUGCGGUCGGCGAUCUAGUUCUUUUACUUUGAAAAAAUUAGAGUGUUUAAAGCAGGCUUGCGCUAUGAAUACAUUAGCAUGGAAUAAUAAUUUAGGACUUUAUUCCUAUUUUAUUGGUUUCUAGGAGUAAAGUAAUGAUUGAUAGGGAUAGUUGGGGGUGCUAGUAUUCAUCGGCCAGAGGUGAAAUUCUUGGAUUCGAUGAAGACUAACUAAUGCGAAAGCAUUCACCAAGGAUGUCUUCU
rnacentral:rRNA from 1 species